AUUUCGGUAGAAUUCUUAGUGGCGAACGGGUGAGUCACUGCGUAGGCAACCUGCCCUUUAGACGGGGACAACAUUCCGAAAGGAGUGCUAAUACCGGAUGUGAUCAUCGUGCCGCAUGGCAGGAUGAAGAAAGAUGGCCUCUACAAGUAAGCUAUCGCUAAAGGAUGGGCCUGCGUCUGAUUAGCUAGUUGGUAGUGUAACGGACUACCAAGGCGAUGAUCAGUAGCCGGUCUGAGAGGAUGAACGGCCACAUUGGGACUGAGACACGGCCCAAACUCCUACGGGAGGCAGCAGUGGGGAAUCUUCCGCAAUGGACGAAAGUCUGACGGAGCAACGCCGCGUGAGUGAUGAAGGAUUUCGGUCUGUAAAGCUCUGUUGUUUAUGACGAACGUGCAGUGUGUGAACAAUGCAUUGCAAUGACGGUAGUAAACGAGGAAGCCACGGCUAACUACGUGCCAGCAGCCGCGGUAAUACGUAGGUGGCGAGCGUUGUCCGGAAUUAUUGGGCGUAAAGAGCAUGUAGGCGGCUUAAUAAGUCGAGCGUGAAAAUGCGGGGCUCAACCCCGUAUGGCGCUGGAAACUGUUAGGCUUGAGUGCAGGAGAGGAAAGGGGAAUUCCCAGUGUAGCGGUGAAAUGCGUAGAUAUUGGGAGGAACACCAGUGGCGAAGGCGCCUUUCUGGACUGUGUCUGACGCUGAGAUGCGAAAGCCAGGGUAGCGAACGGGAUUAGAUACCCCGGUAGUCCUGGCCGUAAACGAUGGGUACUAGGUGUAGGAGGUAUCGACCCCUUCUGUGCCGG
rnacentral:rRNA from 1 species